GUAUGGCUACCAAGCAUGACGGGUAGCGGGUCUGAGAGGAUGAUCCGUCACACUGGGACUGAGACACUGCCCAGACUCCUACGGGAGGCAGCAGUAAGGAAUCUUGCACAAUGGGCGAAAGCCUGAUGCAGCAACGCCGCGUGCGGGAAGACGGCCCUAGGGUUGUAAACCGCUUUCAGCAGGGAAGAAAAUGACGGUACCUGCAGAAGAAGGUGCGGCCAACUACGUGCCAGCAGCCGCGGUGACACGUAGGCACCAAGCGUUAUCCGGAUUUAUUGGGCGUAAAGAGCUCGUAGGCGGUUCGGUAAGUCGGGUGUGAAAACUCUGGGCUCAACCCAGAGAGGCCACUCGAUACUGCUGUGACUAGAGUGCGGUAGGGGAGCGGGGAAUUUCUGGUGUAGCGGUGAAAUGCGCAGAUAUCAGAAGGAACACCAGUGGCGAAGGCGCCGCUCUGGGCCGUAACUGACGCUGAGGAGCGAAAGCAUGGGUAGCAAACAGGAUUAGAUACCCUGGUAGUCCAUGCCGUAAACGUUGGGCACUAGGUGUGGGUC
rnacentral:rRNA from 1 species